rnacentral:rRNA from 1 species
UACGUAGGGUGCGAGCGUUAAUCGGAAUUACUGGGCGUAACGCGUGCGCAGGCGGUUUUGUAAGGCAGGCGUGAAAUCCCCGAGCUCAACUUGGGAAUGGCGCUUGUGACUGCAAGGCUAGAGUAUGUCAGAGGGGGGUAGAAUUCCACGUGUAGCAGUGAAAUGCGUAGAGAUGUGGAGGAAUACCGAUGGCGAAGGCAGCCCCCUGGGACGUCACUGACGCUCAUGCACGAAAGCGUGGGGAGCAAACAGG